GACAGAGGUGCCAAGCGUUAGGCGGAAUCACUGGGCUUAAAGCGUGUGUAGGCGGGCGAUCAAGUACCUUGUGAAAUCCCACGGCUCAACCGUGGAACUGCUGGGUAUACUGGUUGUCUUGAGCCAGCUAGGGGCGAGCGGAACAGACGGUGGAGCGGUGAAAUGCGUAGAUAUCGUCUGGAACGCCGAAGGUGAAAACAGGCUGCUGGGGUUGUGCCGACGCUGAGACACGACAGCCAGGGGAGCAAACGGG
rnacentral:rRNA from 1 species